AGCACAGAGCCCGAUGCAGGGCUCGAACCCACGAAUCGUGAGAUCAUGAUCUGGGCCGAAGUCGGACCCUUAACCAACUGAGCCACCCGGGUGCCCCUUCUUGAUCACUUUUUAAAUCUAGACAAUAGGCAGAACAAUAAAUCAAGCCCUGAUUUGUAGCUUUUGCCAGUUUCCAUGGUAUAAAUACUCCCAGCUCAUGGUCAGUUUGAGGACUCCCAACCUGACAUCCCAUUGAAGACAGAGCAGGGAAGAUUCACUCACAGUAGCACACCAUGUGUAGCAGCCACACCAUCUGGAUAUAAUUGAUGUAAAUAACCUCAAGAGCAUGGAUAAUAGCAAAAUAAUAAUAAAAUAAUGAGUUAAUUUUUAAUAAUGGCUAUGUUUAACAAUUGGUUCACAGAAUUCCUGAAAUUUUAACACUCUGCUCUUGCAACCUGCUGUGAGGCUUCUCCCAUACAUCAUGGCCUCAGUCCCAGUCCUGGGGAACUCCAAACUAGUAGGACUGGUGAACAAUUUCGUAGCGUAAAGUCAAAAGUUAGGCAAGAGAAUUUCCCAGAGGAUGGAAGCAGAAAUGGAAAAUAAAACUCAAUGAAAGGCACUUUGAAAGACUAGGUAAAAUCAGGAAGGAGACACUGGAGAGUUGUCUUUGAGGCUGUUGAAAUUGAUACAAACAGUUGGUGUGUAUGAGGAAAUCAAGACUGUGUGGCAUCACUUUUGUUAGCCCGACACUUGAGGGAGAGAUACUUAAGUGAGACGGUACCACGCUUAAAAUUAGGACAGUGGUGUUUGAGUCUUAGUAGUAAUACUUAAUCAGGCAUGGGACAACCUUAAACCAGUCAUUAACCAUUCUGAGCUUCAUUUUUGUUAUCUACAAAAUAAGAAAACUAGAGUAGAUCUUAACAAGGGAAAGGCAGUGGGGUCUUCAGGAGCCUUUGUUAAAAUAUUUAUCAUGUAAAAGUGAUAUCUUUUGGGGUUUUUUACCUACAAAAAUGGCACUUUCAUAUUGUUCAAACUAUAUAUGUGUUCAGGACUAUAUCCCCAAAGGUUCUGGUUCAAUAAAUUUCAGGUGUACUUUUUAAACGCUUCAUGGGUGAUUCAGAUGCACCAUCUGUUUGAGAACUACUGAACCUGAUAAUCUCACAGCUUCCUUCCAGUUCUAAAGACCUGUUUGUAUUACUCUCAUUUACUAUUUGCAGUAACCGCACGUUGGUAUGCUGCCACUAGGUGGUGAUCGUGUGCCACAGUCACAACAAGUUCUGCUACCCUGAAGUUCUCUCUGGUCAAGUCCACCAUGUUCACAAUGGCACAUCUCCAUGUAUUUUGACAUCCAUAAAAAUUGUCUUCUUUUAAAAAAACCAAAGAAGUAAUUCAUGAGCUCAUCUUUUGGCAAUACAACUCCAAAAUUAUGAACUUAAUAUCUUUUCUAGCUAACGCAUAGCUUCAGCACUUUCUCUCUUCUUUAUACAUACCUCUUCAGUUCCACCCAAAGCUCCAUGCGCUGGCUUGUGCUAUUUACACUCUCUGUGUGGCCUCAAACUCCCCCAACUCCUAGAACUUGUGUCACAGCUCACUCAUUUCUCACUCGGACCCUCUACAGGAUUACUCCCCAGUCAGUAAAAUCCUUUUACAUUUAUGAACGUAUUUCUACCUCUACCUUUCUUCCUCGUCCUUCUCCCUCUUCCAGUCCUCCUCCUCUGAGAAACCCCAAGGAAUGCUGAAAUGAAGGGAGAGCGAGAGAGAGAGAGAAUGAAUGAAUGAGUGAAUGAAAGAAAAGAAAAAAGAAAAGAGAAGAAAAGAAAAGGGAGGGGAGAAGAAGAAAGAAAGAAGGAAGGAAGGAAACAAGACCAAGUCCUAAUUCUCUCUGAAAUGCAGAGUUCAGUGUUUAUCUGAGUCAUACAGGCUUGCCCUCUGUCUCUCUUCAUGGCUCUCACCUUAUAACCCUACUUGACCCAUCCCAUCUGGUAUGUGAUAGCUCUCCUCGUGGGCAUGACUCUGUUGUCUUAGUCCAAAAGGAGCAUCUCUUCUCUGGCUCUUACCCACUCCUAGAACUUUCAGCAGACACUUGCUCAACUGACCCAAUGAAGAAUAAAUGGUGAGAAGAGCAUGGUAUGUCUGUUUGCUCGCCUGCUUUUCCCAAUCCCUUCAAAGCUGACACAUCUAAGGAAGUAUAGUUGUUUUCCAAGCUGAUAGCUUGGAAGCCAGACAUUAGUUCCAGCCUCAGUGCCAUUGCUCAAAGCACAUGUGGAAUGCUUCAUGGAUUUUCCUUGCGAUUUAUGGCAUAAUUACUCAGACAUCUUUAAUAGUACAUGUCUUUAAUGAUUCAGUGUCCUUGAAGUAAGUUUGCUGUUAUUUGUUGUUUUGUUUUCCAACUAAGCCGAAGUAAUGUAGACCUAAAUAAGGUGAAUAAAAGGAGACGUGAUCCUCUGGUCAGAAAUGAGGGGAAAUUAUGAGAUCAUGGGACUGGUUUUCUCAUCUGACUCUAACCCACAUCAGGAGGUGACUGUGGAAGAGAAAUCUGUAAAAUGCCUGGGCAGUGCCCUUUUGUCUGCUAAAGGGGCUAACCUGAAGGAAACAGCAAUUUCAGAGUAGAUCAGUCUUGCUGCUUUAUUCAUAUCUGUUUCUUUGCCUAAGUUAAUGGUUGCCCUCUAUGAGAACAAGCAAGUGGGAAUCCUUUUGACAUGCAAGGGAAGCAGAAAACUAAAAAAGAAUGAAAGUGUGAGUUCUGGAAUUAAGCCACAUGCAUUCAUCCCCUGCCUUUACCCCAUGCUCAAGGUGGAGCUCUGAGCAAGUCAUUGUACCUAAAACCAAGGAAUUGAUGAUGCCUUCCUCAUACUGCCCUUGUUAUAAUUAAAUGAUGUCAUCCACGUAAAGCACAGGGUGCCUAGCACAUAAUCACUGUUUCAACAAUACCUUCGAUGCAAAAAUGUCAUGAAGGAUGAAGAUUUUAUACUCACAGGUCCCUAGGAAAAAGAGGUGCGGCAUGGCAUGCAGGGGGGACCACAGUGGGAAGGACCAGGAUCAGUCAGGGGUAGAGGGAGCAAGGGGAAAAUGUGGGCAAGAGCCUUGUUGUGAUUUUCCCUAGAAAGGAAUGGGCAGGGCAGGAUAAGCAGGUUUAAGAUUGGCUAGUUUUCAUAAUUUUAGCCAGCUCUGGCUGCCCUAGUUGUCUGGUACCUGGUCCUGGGGUAAUUUGGUCAGGGCACUAGUGGCCCAGAGUGUGAGAGCAUUAUAGAGGAGGUGUUUGGGUAUACGGGCUCCGGAUUGGUUGGUUUGCCUAUGAAGAGUGUGUUCCCAGGCAAGUUGUUUGAGAUGUCUAAGAAUUAGCUAGCCCUGGGAAAUGUAAUCUCUCCUUGGGUCACAAGGCCCCAAGAUGUCAAAGCAUAAAAAGUAUGGAAUAAAAACAUAUGGUUAAUACAAGUACUCAUUAAAGUUUUUCAGUCAUCAUCAUCAUCAUCAUCAUCACCAUCACCAUCCUCUCUCAGUGUUCUCUGGUAGCAGAGCAAAUUGAUGGCUUCUAUGCAAGCAUUCUGGAACUUACUAGUGAUGGUUGAUACUAAUUUGAAUUUAGUAAGUGCAAACUUAAAAGUGGCAUCCUUUUUUGUUAAUGACCCGAACGUUAUUCGAGAGCUGUAUCUAGUUCUGAAUUUCAUAUUUUUGAAGAAAGUGGAGAAACCUGAGAGGAUUCUGAGAAGAAAUACUUCAGGUGGAAGAGAAAGGUGACAGAUGCUGUGAUUUGGUUUACAGACACGGCAUUGGGAAGUAGGGUGGCCAUCCACAAGUACUGCUUCCAUUCACAUAAAAAGGAGAUCACUCAGACAUUUCUCUGUAUUCGAUGAUCAUGGAACAAAAUGGAGCAGGUUAACUGUGAAGCAACAAAAUUCAGCUUCGACUGCAGGAAAAGCAAGUGAUUCCUGAUCCUAGGCACCUGUGGUGACAGCGAACGUGGGUUGGUCUGAGCGGUAGUAGUCUCAAGAAAGAAAUAGACACCUUUCAGCUUUGACAGAGAUUAUGCAUCUCAGACAAAUUGAAUACCUAGCCAGGUGACCUCUCGGUAUCUCUUUCUAAGGCUUAUCUGCCUCUGUUACCAUUUAUAUUUUCCUGAAUUCUCUCCAUUAAGUCCCAAAGAAAGCUUUACUUCUUCUCACUUCCUUUUCACAGAA